rnacentral:misc_RNA from 1 species
AAGUCGUAACAAGGUUUCCGUAGGUGAACCUGCGGAAGGAUCAUUAACACGUAUCCAACGUUAAACCCCCCUGUGAACCUUUAGUGUGCUCCCUCAUUCUGUUGGAACGUGGCAAUCCCUGGUAAAUCAUCGCCGAACAGUUUUGAUUCAGGGACUUCUGCAAAGAGUGCUGGUUGUAGCGCGAGGCAAGUGGCCUGGCAUUCCUCUGCUUGUUAGUGUCUGAAAGUGUCACUGGCUCUGUAAGAAUGGCGCAGUCACGAUCGCUAGAGGCCGACACGGCCGGCCCUUUGCAUGAAAACGGGCCUGCGCUUAAUUGUGCGGCCAUAAACCGAACAACUGUUAACAAUGGAUAUCUUGGUUCUC